GGACAUGAUGCUGAUGAUGAU
rnacentral:miRNA from 1 species